CACGUAGGGCGCAAGCGUUGUCCGGAAUUAUUGGGCGUAAAGAGCUCGUAGGCGGUGUGUCGCGUCGGCCGUGAAAACUUGCAGCUUAACUGUGGGCGUGCGGUCGAUACGGGCAUCACUGGAGUUCGGCAGGGGAGACUGGAAUUCCUGGUGUAGCGGUGAAAUGCGCAGAUAUCAGGAGGAACACCGGUGGCGAAGGCGGGUCUCUGGGCCGAUACUGACGCUGAGGCGCGAAAGCGUGGGGAGCAAACAGG
rnacentral:rRNA from 1 species